rnacentral:rRNA from 1 species
AACGAACGCUGGCGGCAUGCCUAACACAUGCAAGUCGAACGAGACCUUCGGGCCUAGUGGCGCACGGGUGCGUAACGCGUGGGAAUCUGCCCUUGGGUUCGGGAUAACAGUUGGAAACGACUGCUAAUACCGGAUGACGUCUUCGGACCAAAGAUUUAUCGCCCAGGGAUGAGCCCGCGUCGGAUUAGCGAGUUGGUAGGGUAAAAGCCUACCAAGGCGACGAUCCGUAGCUGGUCUGAGAGGAUGAUCAGCCACACUGGGACUGAGACACGGCCCAGACUCCUACGGGAGGCAGCAGUGGGGAAUAUUGGACAAUGGGCGAAAGCCUGAUCCAGCAAUGCCGCGUGAGUGAUGAAGGCCUUAGGGUUGUAAAGCUCUUUUACCCGGGAUGAUAAUGACAGCACCGGGAGAAUAAGCCCCGGCUAACUCCGUGCCAGCCGCCGCCGUAA